rnacentral:lncRNA from 10 species
GUUUGUCUUCGGCUCCACGGGCAAGAAAUCAUGAUAAUUUAAAUUCUGAAUCAUGGAAUUGGACUUAAAAAACAAUUGAGUUUUGGAGCUUCUAGCAGUAGAAUCAACUGGGAGGACCCAAUUUCAUCCAAUUUGUAGCUUGAUUUCAUCCAGCAAGACAUACUUAAGCAUAAAGACCUAAAAGUGGAGAAAUUCUUUGAUGUUUAGACACUCAAAGUUAAGAAAACAUGAGAGAGAUGAAAGUUAUCUGAGAAAAUAACAGGAGAAAAAAGAAAUACAGUCUCUUGGAACUAAAAGUAUAUAAGGAACACUUCCUCUGGGAUGAGAGAAGUGCUUUGCCUGAGUCAGCCAUGGUUCACCAUGAAAACACGAUGAGUCACACCUGCAUCACAGUUGAUCAUGAUCUCU